rnacentral:tRNA from 1 species
GUUCUGGUAGCCCAGUAUUUAAAGCGUCGGUCUUGUAAACCGAAGAUCGGAGAUGAAAUUCCUCCCCAGAACA